rnacentral:rRNA from 1 species
GACGAACGCUGGCGGCGUGCUUAACACAUGCAAGUCGAACGAAGUGGCGAACGGGUGAGUAACGCGUAAUCAACCUGCCCUUCAGAGGGGGACAACAGUUGGAAACGACUGCUAAUACCGCAUACUGAAGGAGGGGUUUGCGGGUGAUUUGCUAGUUGGAGGGGUAACGGCCCACCAAGGCGAUGAUCAGUAGCCGGGUUGAGAGGAUGAACGGCCACAUUGGGACUGAGACACGGCCCAAGCUCCUACGGGGGGCAACAGGUGGGAAUCUUCCGAAAUGGGCGGAAGGCUGACUGAGCAACGCCGGGGUAGUGAUGACGGCCUUUGGGUUGUAAAGCUCUGUUAAUCGGGACGCGGUACCGGAAUAGAAAGCCACGGCUAACUACGUGCCAGCCGCCGCGGUAAUAC